AGAGUUUGAUCAUGGCUCAGAACGAACGCUGGCGGCAUGCCUAACACAUGCAAGUCGAACGCCCCGCAAGGGGAGUGGCGGACGGGUGAGUAACACGUGGGAACCUGCCCAAUGGUCUGGAAUAACCGCGGGAAACUGCGGCUAAUACCGGAUAAGCCCGAGAGGGGAAAGAUUUAUCGCCGAUGGAGGGGCCCGCGUCCGAUUAGGUAGUUGGUGGGGUAACGGCCUACCAAGCCUACGAUCGGUAGCUGGUCUGAGAGGAUGAUCAGCCACACUGGGACUGAGAUACGGCCCAGACUCCUACGGGAGGCAGCAGUGGGGAAUAUUGGACAAUGGGGGCAACCCUGAUCCAGCAAUGCCGCGUGAGUGAUGAAGGCCUUAGGGUUGUAAAGCUCUUUUGGCGGGGACGAUAAUGACGGUACCCGCAGAAUAAGCCCCGGCUAACUUCGUGCCAGCAGCCGCGGUAAUACGAAGGGGGCGAGCGUUGUUCGGAAUUACUGGGCGUAAAGGGCGCGUAGGCGGCGAUCCUAGUCAGAUGUGAAAGUCCUGGGCUUAACCUGGGGACUGCAUUUGAUACUGGAUUGCUUGAAUGCAGGAGAGGAUAGCGGAACUCCCAGUGUAGAGGUGAAAUUCGUAGAUAUUGGGAAGAACACCGGUGGCGAAGGCGGCUAUCUGGACUGUGAUUGACGCUGAGGCGCGAAAGCGUGGGGAGCAAACAGGAUUAGAUACCCUAGUAGUCC
rnacentral:rRNA from 1 species